UACGGAGGAUCCAAGCGUUAUCCGGAUUUAUUGGGUUUAAAGGGUGCGUAGGCGGCUUAUUAAGUCAGAGGUGAAAUCUUUCGGCUCAACCGGAACAUUGCCUUUGAUACUGAAGAGCUUGAUGGCACAUGAGGUAGGCGGAAUGUGACAAGUAGCGGUGAAAUGCAUAGAUAUGUCACAGAACACCAAUUGCGAAGGCAGCUUACCAAAGUGAGCAUGACGCUGAGGCACGAAAGCGUGGGGAUCAAACAGG
rnacentral:rRNA from 1 species